AGAGUUUGAUCCUGGCUCAGAAUGAACGCUGGCGGCGUGCUUAACACAUGCAAGUCGUACGAGAACUCUUUAGCUUGCUAAAGAUAGUAAAGUGGCGCACGGGUGAGUAACGCGUGGGUAAUCUACCUCUAAAUCUGGGAUAACAUUGCGAAAGCGAUGCUAAUACCGGAUAAUAUCUCAAAACCAUCAGUUUUUAAGAUCAAAAAUGGCCUCUACAUGUAAGCUGUUGUUUGGAGAUGAGCCCGCGUACCAUUAGCUUGUUGGUAGGGUAAUGGCCUACCAAGGCAACGAUGGUUAGCUGGUCUGAGAGGAUGAUCAGCCACACUGGAACUGACACACGGUCCAGACUCCUACGGGAGGCAGCAGUGAGGAAUUUUGCGCAAUGGGGGAAACCCUGACGCAGCAACGCCGCGUGAGUGAUGAAGGCCCUUGGGUCGUAAAGCUCUGUCAAGUGGGAAGAAAAUGUAAAAUGUUAAUACCAUUUUUCACUGACGGUACCAUUGAAGGAAGCACCGGCUAACUCCGUGCCAGCAGCCGCGGUAAUACGGGGGGUGCAAGCGUUAUUGGGAAUUCUUGGAAGUAAAGGGCGCGUAGGCGGUCUUGUCGGUCAGAUGUGGAAGCCUUGGGCUUAACCCAAGAAUUGCAUUUGAAACUGUCGGGAUUGAGUCGUGCAAGGGAGGGCGGAAUUCCUGGUGUAGCGGUGAAAUGCGUAGAUAUCAGGAGGAAGGCCGGUGGUGAAGACGGCCCUCUAGGCAAUGACUGACGCUGAGGCGCGAAAGCGUGGGUAGCAAACAGGAUUAGAUACCCUGGUAGUCCACGCCCUAAACGGUGCGUACUAGGUGUGGGUGGCGAUAGUCAUCCGUGCCGUAGGGAAACCAUUAAGUACGCCGCCUGGGGAGUACGGCCGCAAGGUUAAAACUCAAAGAAAUUGACGGGGGCCCGCACAAGCGGUGGAGCAUGUGGUUUAAUUCGACGCUACGCGCAAAACCUUACCUGGGCUUGACAUGUUAGUAGUAGUGAACCGAAAGGGGAACGAUUCCUAGCAAUAGGAAAGCUAUCACAGGUGCUGCAUGGCUGUCGUCAGCUCGUGCCGUGAGGUGUUGGGUUAAGUCCCGCAACGAGCGCAACCCUCAUCCUCUGUUGCCCUUAACGGAGAUCUCUGAGGAAACUGCCGGCGAAGAGCUGGAGGAAGGUGGGGAUGACGUCAAGUCCGCAUGGCCCUUAUGCCCAGGGCUACACACGUGCUACAAUGGUAGAUACAGAGGGUGGCCAAGCCGCGAGGUGGAGCCAAUCCCAUAAAGCCUGUCCAAGUUGGGAUCGGAGUCUGCAAUUCGACUCCGUGAACCUGGAAUCGCUAGUAAUCGUGGAUCAGCACGCCACGGUGAAUACGUUCCCGGGCCUUGUACACACCGCCCGUCACACCACGAAAGUCUGUUGUACCCGAAGUAGGUGAGCCAACCCGCAAGGGAGGCAGCUUCCUAAGGUAUGGCCGGUAAUUGGGGUGAAGUCGUAACAAGGUAACC
rnacentral:rRNA from 1 species